UUAACAUUUCAAAUUAAAAAAACAGGAGGAAUUUACUAUACCCUCUCAUGUAGUUGCAUAUCCGCUAGUCACAUACAACUGAGAGGUGUGGGCAGUAGUUGUAUUCUGUUUUCCAAAAUAUAGAACUCCAUUGUCACUUCCGGCGGUUGCAUGAGUAAAAUGUCUUUUAUACUUUGUCAUAAAACAUAAGGUUAAAUAUAAGGAGGGAGAGUGACCUUCACCGAGUGCCUAGGCAGUCCUUAAACGCAUUCCACAGUAAUAUAUGGACUGUUUGGUUCGUGACUAACUUUGGGACGACUAAGCUUACGUAAAGUGUGGCUGCCAUAAAAUGUGUGGCUACAAAAAUAACCAUCACAAGUGUGACAAGAUUUGGCAAAACAUUGAGCAUAUGACAUAUGGAUCAUGUUGCUAGAAAAGUGUGGCAAGCCGCAAAUGUGGCAAUGAACAAAACACAUAUAUAUCUAAGUUGAUGUGGCACGACUAAGAUUACACGUGGCAACCUUAGGCUGUAAACCAAACACGCCCAUAGGUUUUACUAUCAGGAUGUAUCUACGGUUAUUAUAUGUGCAUUAUAUUAAUUCAGGGCAUAUAAAUAAUAUAACUAAGAGCUCCAUUGGAAUAUGACCUAUUUUUUAUACCCUGUC
rnacentral:lncRNA from 1 species